rnacentral:rRNA from 1 species
CCUACGGGAGGCAGCAGUGAGGAAUAUUGGUCAAUGGACGCGUGUCUGAACCAGCCAUGUAGCGUGAAGGAUGACUGCCCUAUGGGUUGUAAACUUCUUUUAUAUGGGAAUAAAAUGUUCCACGUGUGGGCUUUUGUAUGUACCAUAUGAAUAAGGAUCGGCUAACUCCGUGCCAGCAGCCGCGGUAAUACGGAGGAUCCGAGGGUUAUCCGGAUUUAUUGGGUUUAAAGGGAGCGUAGGUGGAUUGUUAAGUCAGUUGUGAAAGUUUGCGGCUCAACCGUAAAAUUGCAGUUGAAACUGGCAGUCUUGAGUACAGUAGAGGUGGGCGGAAUUCGUGGUGUAGCGGUGAAAUGCUUAGAUAUCACGAAGAACUCCGAUUGCGAAGGCAGCUCACUGGACUGCAACUGACACUGAGGCUCGAAAGUGUGGGUAUCAAACAGGAUUAGAUACCCGUGUAGUC